rnacentral:rRNA from 1 species
AUACGUAGGGGGCGAGCGUUGUCCGGAAUGAUUGGGCGUAAAGGGCGCGUAGGCGGCUUUGCAAGUCAGUAGUGGAAGUCCAUUUUUCAAGGAUGGAAGUGCUACAGAAACUGCGGAGCUUGAGUGCAGGAGAGGUUAUCGGAAUUCCCGGUGUAGCGGUGAAAUGCGUAGAGAUCGGGAGGAACACCAGUGGCGAAGGCGGGUAACUGGACUGCAACUGACGCUGAGGCGCGAAAGUGUGGGGAGCAAACAGGAUUAGAUACCCUGGUAGUCCACACUGUAAACGAUGAAUGCUAGGUGUAGGAGGUAUCGACCCCUUCUGUGCCGCAGUAAACACAGUAAGCAUUCCGCCUGGGGAGUACGGCCGCAAGGUUGAAACUCAAAUGAAUUGACGGGG